UGCGUAGGCGGCGCGGAAAGUUGGGUGUGAAAUCCCUCGGCUCAACCGAGGAAUUGCGCCCAAAACUUCCGUGCUCGAGGAAGAUAGAGGUGAGCGGAACUUAGGGUGGAGCGGUGAAAUGCGUUGAUAUCCUGAGGAACACCGGUGGCGAAAGCGGCUCACUGGAUCUUUUCUGACGCUGAGGCACGAAAGCUAGGGUAGCGAACG
rnacentral:rRNA from 1 species